CGGGGUGGUGGUGCAGAGCUUGCCACUUCAUUUGGGUCUUACAUGCCACAUAGUACACGGGGCUUUGAUGACAAGACUAUGCUGUUUAAGAGGCACUCUCCCUCGCUUACAGGGAAUAAUGGUGAGUCAUGCACAGGGACACAGGAUCAGAAAACCUUCCAUUCUGCAAAUGGUAAUGUUAAAGUCAGAACAAGGAUGGAACUACCACCUGUAUGACACAAUACUUUCUGAUCAAAGGACAUAUUCAUGGCUUCAACUCCUCAAGCAUGCUGAUAUUCAGCAAAAUGAAGUGCCUGGCAUGUCCUAGAGUUUAACUUCAAGAAAAAAAGCACAAAGUCUGGAGAUGAUGGCCUGUUGAGCUACCUAGGAGACAAAGUAAAUUGGGAGCUGUACCAGUUACUGAUGACUGACAGGUCCACCCUGCCUUCUGGACUGCAAAGAUUGGAAUGGUGAAGUAGGGCAGCCGGUCGCUACUUACCUGUUGCUAAUUGACCUACUCUUCUAUCGUUCACGGUGGUGACAAAGAAAGACCCAUGACAUCUUCCAUCUGAUGGGUCAACUGUUCAGCAAUGCUGGGACAGGAAAAGACCCCAAUCCUGCUACUGCAGCCUUUCAUUGACAGCAGACCGUGGACUAACACUGAAACCAGAUUGCACUGUGCAGUAACUCUUGAAAUGUCUCUUUCCGCUCGCUUUUUUAAUUUGCCUUUUGUUUCUGGAAUUGUUGUUCCACCCAUUAUUAUUUCUUCCUUGAAUUAUGAAACUGAAUAUUGCAGUG